rnacentral:rRNA from 1 species
CCUUGCGGCAGCCUAACACAUGCAGUCGAGCGGAACGAUGAGGAGCUUGCUCCCAGGCGUCGAGCGGCGGACGGGUGAGUAACACGUGGGAAUCUGCCCAUUAGUGGGGGAUAACUCGGGGAAACUCGAGCUAAUACCGCAUAAUCCCUACGGGGGAAAGCAGGGGAUCUUCGGACCUUGCGCUGAUGGAUGAGCCCGCGUCGGAUUAGCUUGUUGGUGGGGUAAUGGCCCACCAAGGCGACGAUCCGUAACUGGUCUGAGAGGAUGGCCAGUCACACCGGGACUGAGACACGGCCCGGACUCCUACGGGAGGCAGCAGUGGGGAAUCUUGGACAAUGGGCGCAAGCCUGAUCCAGCCAUGCCGCGUGUGUGAAGAAGGCCUUCGGGUUGUAAAGCACUUUCAGUAGGGAGGAAGGCUUUGGGCUAAUACCCUGGAGUACUUGACGUUACCUACAGAAGAAGCACCGGCUAAUUUCGUGCCAGCAGCCGCGGGUAAUACAA